rnacentral:rRNA from 1 species
UACGGGGGGGGGCAAGCGUUGUUCGGAAUUACUGGAGCGUAAAGGGCUCGUAGGCGGCCAACUAAGUCAGACGUGAAAUCCCUCGGCUUAACCGGGGAACUGCGUCUGAUACUGGAUGGCUUGAGUUUGGGAGAGGGAUGCGGAAUUCCAGGUGUAGCGGUGAAAUGCGUAGAUAUCUGGAGGAACACCGGUGGCGAAGGCGGCAUCCUGGACCGACACUGACGCUGAGGAGCGAAAGCCAGGGGAGCAAACGGG